rnacentral:rRNA from 1 species
CUGCGGCAGCGACACUCAGGUGUUGUUGGGUAGGGGAGCGUUCUGUAAGCCUGCGAAGGUGGCCUGUGAGGGUUGCUGGAGGUAUCAGAAGUGCGAAUGCUGACAUAAGUAACGAUAAAGCGGGUGAAAAGCCCGCUCGCCGGAAGACCAAGGGUUCCUGUCCAACGUUAAUCGGGGCAGGGUGAGUCGACCCCUAAGGCGAGGCCGAAAGGCGUAGUCGAUGGGAAACGGGUUAAUAUUCCCGUACUUGGUGUUACUGCGAAGGGGGGACGGAGAAGGCUAUGUUGGCCGGGCGACGGUUGUCCCGGUUUAAGCGUGUAGGCUGGUUUUCCAGGCAAAUCCGGAAAAUCAAGGCUGAGGCGUGACGACGAGGCACUACGGUGCUGAAGCAACAAAUGCCCUGCUUCCAGGAAAAGCCUCUAAGCAUCAGGUAACAUCAAAUCGUACCCCAAACCGACACAGGUGGUCAGGUAGAGAAUACCAAGGCGCUUGAGAGAACUCGGGUGAAGGAACUAGGCAAAAUGGUGCCGUAACUUCGGGAGAAGGCACGCUGACACGUAGGUGAAGUGAUUUACUCACGGAGCUGAAGUCAGUCGAAGAUACCAGCUGGCUGCAACUGUUUAUUAAAAACACAGCACUGUGCAAACACGAAAGUGGACGUAUACGGUGUGACGCCUGCCCGGUGCCGGAAGGUUAAUUGAUGGGGUCAGCGCAAGCGAAGCUCCUGAUCGAAGCCCCGGUAAACGGCGGCCGUAACUAUAACGGUCCUAAGGUAGCGAAAUUCCUUGUCGGGUAAGUUCCGACCUGCACGAAUGGCGUAAUGAUGGCCAGGCUGUCUCCACCCGAGACUCAGUGAAAUUGAACUCGCUGUGAAGAUGCAGUGUACCCGCGGCAAGACGGAAAGACCCCGUGAACCUUUACUAUAGCUUGACACUGAACAUUGAGCCUUGAUGUGUAGGAUAGGUGGGAGGCUUUGAAGUGUGGACGCCAGUCUGCAUGGAGCCGACCUUGAAAUACCACCCUUUAAUGUUUGAUGUUCUAACGUGGACCCGUGAUCCGGGUUGCGGACAGUGUCUGGUGGGUAGUUUGACUGGGGCGGUCUCCUCCUAAAGAGUAACGGAGGAGCACGAAGGUUGGCUAAUCCUGGUCGGACAUCAGGAGGUUAGUGCAAUGGCAUAAGCCAGCUUGACUGCGAGCGUGACGGCGCGAGCAGGUGCGAAAGCAGGUCAUAGUGAUCCGGUGGUUCUGAAUGGAAGGGCCAUCGCUCAACGGAUAAAAGGUACUCCGGGGAUAACAGGCUGAUACCGCCCAAGAGUUCAUAUCGACGGCGGUGUUUGGCACCUCGAUGUCGGCUCAUCACAUCCUGGGGCUGAAGUAGGUCCCAAGGGUAUGGCUGUUCGCCAUUUAAAGUGGUACGCGAGCUGGGUUUAGAACGUCGUGAGACAGUUCGGUCCCUAUCUGCCGUGGGCGCUGGAGAACUGAGGGGGGCUGCUCCUAGUACGAGAGGACCGGAGUGGACGCAUCACUGGUGUUCGGGUUGUCAUGCCAAUGGCACUGCCCGGUAGCUAAAUGCGGAAGAGAUAAGUGCUGAAAGCAUCUAAGCACGAAACUUGCCCCGA